UAUUUGCCAUCAGGGUGUUAACUUCCCUCUUGAUGACAAUCUUGUCUCACUGGGUGAAAUGUGCAUUUCUGCAUUUAUCCUGUGUCUUUCCAAGAUUCUUUACAUCUACAGAUUAUUUUUCCAGCUGCAAGAUCCUUCACGGUGAAUCUGUGCUCUGAAGCUAGCAUCAUUCUGUAUGAUUCUAUAAUUACUUUAAAAUUGUCAUUCAGUGGAGGCUAAUAGACCUGUGACAAUUUUAUUAUUGCCUUAUAAGUCAUAUUUUACAGUAGAUGAGCUCUGGAGUUUGACAUGCUGAAAUUCUACUAUUCACUAGCUUACAACCUUGGGCAAGUCCUUUAGUUUCUAUGACAAUUGACUUUCUCAUCUGUAAAGCAGAAAACUAUAUUUUAUAGUUAUUGUUUAAGAAGAUUAGUGACAUUGAACUUCUGGAAAGAUGGCAGAGCAGUGAUCAGCAGAGAAAGUGGUCUCCCUGAGAGUCACUGUCCAGACACUGGAAUAUAGCAUUGUGAGGAAGACAAGAAGAAAAGAAGUAGGUCCCCUGGACCCAGGAAAACUCCGAAGUGUAAAUUAAAGCCCACAGAGAGAGAAGAAGAAUUUUCCUCUAAAUUUUCUAAAAAGAAAAUUUUCAAUGAAGAAGGAGGAAGCUGUGGCCCACGGUUCAUUUGUCCUGAGACAGGACUCACUGCAUGCGAGGAAUUGUUCAAACGUGGUGAUGCAUGGUCAUGGGAGCAGUGACAGCUGACGAUCAGACACCUCUGCAGAGAGACACAGAAGUAGAGGGAGCAGUGGACAUGGAGGACUGCACUGGCCAGUGUUUUUCUAAACAGCUGUUGGUCCUGAUAAUCCAUGACUGAGAUUAACUAAGGGUCACAGAAAACAUGGUGGCACAAGACCAAGGAACCAAGGACUAGGCCAAACAAGCAACAACUUCUCAUCUCCAAAAAGUGAAGAGGCUUAGAGAAAGGAAAGAAUCUGCAUCCUUUCAAUAAUAUUUGCUGGCAAAGGUAGGCGCUGAAGCCUUCCCAGUGGCGCAGAGUGGAAUUUCCCCAGUCCAGGUUCCCCUGGGGUUCUGAUGGCUGGCGGUUGGUCCUGCAGUUUGGAAGUGAUUGCUCCAGCUCCUGCUCUUUCCCCUAGUUGUCUUGCUAAACUAUGCAAAUGUAUUUCUGGCUUUCUCACAAAUCAGACCCAAAUAUUGUCCUCAUUCCCCCUCUUGUCCUUUGGCAUACUUCUCAGUUCCUCUAAACUACAAAACAUGAACUAUUUUAAAUCAA